GCAGUAGGGGCAGGGCCUCCCUCUCCCUUCCCCCCUUUCUCCUUCUCCCCAUCUCUUACAUUGGCCAAAACAGACUGAGUAGAAUUCCAGAGGAUUUAGGGAAUGGUACCUAGGUAUGGGUGAAGAAUCUCUGGGUGGAAAGGAUGAAUGAGUUCCUUAAACCAAUGGAAUUCCAGAUUUUUUCAUCAACUGAUACCUCUUCUCAAGAAAAGAAAACAAAAGCAAAACACGGAACAACAUGACUGAAGAAAUUGAGCUUCAAAGAAGUUAAUGUGUUCCCAGUUAUAUAUGUGAUAUUGCUGGAGUAGGGGCUUUUCUGUCUCCAAAUAUAGUGAUGCCUUUUCUAUGCUUAACCCUGUCCAAGGGUUCUGAAGUCUCAUAAUCAACCUAAAGCCAGAAUAUCAAGCAUCAGGAUCUAACAAACUCAAACCACAGUGAAACAUGGCCUUCUACUACUGGUCCAGAAAGUAGUUAUUGAGGUAAUUAAAGAGAGGUGAACAUGCUACUGACAUCUUAAUGGGAAAACAUUAAGGUGAUGAUUUCUUGUGUUUUUGCUGCCUCCUGACAUUGGUGAAGUACAUGAUAUUUUAAAUAUAACAAAUGUAGUAAUAAGCUGAGAAAAAGUGUUAUAACUUUGGUAA